AGAAGAAAAGAUGGGUCAUCACGUAUUGGGCUUUGGAAAAGGGAAUUGACAAAAUGAGAUCUUACAUCAUAUAUGUGUAUAUAUGUGAUGAAGGAAAGCAAAUGGGCCACGUGAUUAGCCUUGGACAUUGCAACCAAGGGUAUCAUAUGCAUAUGAUAUAUAUAUAUAUAUAUAUAUAUAUCAUCAAGGGAAAAGAAGGGGGCGGCUGCUACAGAGGGGAGGCCGACAAAAAGCAACCAGAGAAAAAGAGAACAAUGAAGAAAAAGAAGAAGAACAAGAAAAAAAGAGAGUUUAUUUGAGUGUUAUUUAGGGUUUUAGUUUUGAAUUUUAAUUUUGAGAUUGGCAAAUUUUCAAAGGAAGAAGAAGAGGAAUUUGGAAGAAAAACUUAGAGUCUUGUGACAACUCUAAAUCGGUUGCUGGUGCAGCUGGUCCAUUGACCUAAUCCCAGCCAAUGGGAAGGCGCCACGUAGGCGGCUGGCUGAAGGGAAAGGUUUUGGACUGCUGGAUUGCUUGGGGGAAUCGGACCUUGGAGUGAAGCUGCUGAAGAGAGUUGGGCCUGCAUGUGGCUACUGAGGAGAGCUGGGCCUGUGAGGGCUGAGGCUUUCGUUGGGCCCACAUUGCAUUGAUGUAGUGAAGUGAGGCUAGUUGGGAAGCUGGGCUAAUGGGCUGAAGGAGGUAGGGGAAAGCUGAUGGGCCUGGCCUUGAGAGGCUGCUGAAGUGAAGAGAAGUUGUUGGAGAUGGGCCUUCGCUGAAGGAGAAAAGGAGGUUUGAAGAGGCAUAUGCGUGCAUGGCUAGUUGACAGUGUGGCAGAUGUGGCUUAGCUGGGACUCAGACAGGUGGCGCAACAGGGGGUCGCCAGGUGGCGGCUGGGCAAGGAGAAAAAGAGACAUAUUUUGCUGGGCUUGGGCUAUUUGGGCCGAACUAUAUGCUUCAAUUUUGCAAAAAUGCCAACUUUUCUUCUUUUCUUCAACUUUAUUUAUUUCUUUCUUCUUUCUUUUCUUUAUGACAAAAUACAUCUUUAAUUCCUACAAAAUAACAAUAAAUUAAAUCAUAAUCAAACAUUUUCAUUUAUAAAAUAAAUUAUAUUAUUUCAAUGAAAA